UAGGGAAUAUUGCACAAUGGAGGAAACUCUGAUGCAGCCAUGCCGCGUGUGUGAAGAAGGCCUUCGGGUUGUAAAGCACUUUCGGAGGGGAGGAAGAAAAUGACGUUACCCUCAGAAGAAGCACCGGCUAACUCCGUGCCAGCAGCCGCGGUAAUACGGAGGGUGCAAGCGUUAAUCGGAAUAACUGGGCGUAAAGGGCAUGCAGGCGGUUCAUCAAGUAGGAUGUGAAAUCCCCGGGCUCAACCUGGGAACAGCAUACUAAACUGGUGGACUAGAGUAUUGCAGGGGGAGACGGAAUUCCAGGUGUAGCGGUGGAAUGCGUAGAUAUCUGGAAGAACACCAAAGGCGAAGGCAGUCUCCUGGGCAAAUACUGACGCUCAUAUGCGAAAGCGUGGGUAGC
rnacentral:rRNA from 1 species